AUUGAACGCUGGCGGCAGGCCUAACACAUGCAAGUCGAACGGUAACAGGAAACAGCUUGCUGUUUCGCUGACGAGUGGCGGACGGGUGAGUAAUGUCUGGGAAACUGCCUGAUGGAGGGGGAUAACUACUGGAAACGGUAGCUAAUACCGCAUAACGUCGCAAGACCAAAGAGGGGGACCUUCGGGCCUCUUGCCAUCGGAUGUGCCCAGAUGGGAUUAGCUAGUAGGUGGGGUAACGGCUCACCUAGGCGACGAUCCCUAGCUGGUCUGAGAGGAUGACCAGCCACACUGGAACUGAGACACGGUCCAGACUCCUACGGGAGGCAGCAGUGGGGAAUAUUGCACAAUGGGCGCAAGCCUGAUGCAGCCAUGCCGCGUGUAUAAAGAAGGCCUUCGGGUUGUAAAGUACUUUCAGCGGGGAGGAAGGGAGUAAAGUUAAUACCUUUGCUCAUUGACGUUACCCGCAGAAGAAGCACCGGCUAACUCCGUG
rnacentral:rRNA from 1 species